GGACUCGUGGUCUAGCCUGGCUAUGACGCCGCCUUCACACGGCGGAGAUCCCCGGUUCAAAUCCGGGCGGGUCCAC
rnacentral:tRNA from 1 species